AUUGAACGCUGGCGGCAGGCCUAACACAUGCAAGUCGAACGAGUGGCGGACGGGUGAGUAAUGUCUGGGAAACUGCCUGAUGGAGGGGGAUAACUACUGGAAACGGUAGCUAAUACCGCAUACCAUCGGAUGUGCCCAGAUGGGAUUAGCUAGUAGGUGGGGUAACGGCUCACCUAGGCGACGAUCCCUAGCUGGUCUGAGAGGAUGACCAGCCAAAUUGGAACUUAGACACGGUCCGAACUCCUACGGGAGGCAACAGUGGGGAAUAUUGCACAAUGGGCCCAAGCCUUAUGCAGCCAUGCCGGGUGUAAGAAGAAGGCCUUCGGGUUUUAAAGUACUUUCAGCGGGGAAGCGUUCCCCGCAGAAGAAGCACCGGCUAACUCCGUGCCAACAGCCGCGGUAAUUC
rnacentral:rRNA from 1 species